AGCUAUUCCAUCCCAUCAACUAUCAUCUAAAUUAACAGGAUGGCUAAAACCAAUAAGGAACAACAGAAGAAAGAACUCAAGGCAGCGUACAUGAUGUCGCAAGGUAGUCUCCCAUCCAGGCACUGCUUAGCUUCAGUAAGGUGGCAGUAUCACCUAUGCAUAUAUAAGCCCUCCCUCCAUAUGGAUCCGCUACAAUUCAUAACAGGCUACAAAUAAAGGAGACAUAGAAAAG